rnacentral:rRNA from 1 species
UACAGAGGGUGCGAGCGUUAAUCGGAAUUACUGGGCGUAAAGCGUGUGUAGGUGGUUUGAUAAGUUAGAUGUGAAAUCCCCGGGCUUAACCUGGGCACUGCGUUUAAGACUGUUGAACUAGAGUACUGUAGAGGAUAGUGGAAUUUCCAGUGUAGCGGUGAAAUGCGUAGAUAUUGGAAGGAACACCAGUGGCGAAGGCGACUAUCUGGAUAGAUACUGACACUGAGACACGAAAGCGUGGGGAGCGAACAGG